rnacentral:rRNA from 1 species
GAUUUCUGGCGAACCGUUGCGGCCCGUGCUCAUUUUGGGCGUGUGUGCCGUGUCGUGUUUGUCAUCCUUCCAAAAAAUUAGAGUGUUUAAAGCAGGUUUAUGCUGUGAAUACAUUAGCAUGGAAUAAUAAUUUAGGACUUCGGUUCUAUUUUGUUGGUUUCUAGGACUGAAGUAAUGAUUGAUAGGGACAGUUGGGGGUGCUAGUAUUCCGCGGCCAGAGGUGAAAUUCUUGGAUUCGCGGAAGACUAACUACUGCGAAAGCAUC